rnacentral:rRNA from 1 species
UACGUAGGGUGCAGGCGUUAAUCGGAAUUACUGGGCGUAAAGCGUGCGCAGGCGGUUUGCUAAGACAGGUGUGAAAUCCCCGGGCUUAACCUGGGAACUGCGUUUGAAACUACAAGGCUAGAGUGUAGCAGAGGGGGGUGGAAUUCCACGUGUAGCAGUGAAAUGCGUAGAGAUGUGGAGGAACACCGAUGGCGAAGGCAGCCCCCUGGGUUAACACUGACGCUCAGGCACGAAAGCGUGGGGAGCAAACAGG